rnacentral:rRNA from 1 species
GACGUACGCUGGCGGCGUGCUUAACACAUGCAAGUCGAACGGAAAGGCCCUGCUUUUGUGGGGUGCUCGAGUGGCGAACGGGUGAGUAACACGUGAGUAACCUGCCCUUGACUUUGGGAUAACUUCAGGAAACUGGGGCUAAUACCGGAUAGGAGCUCCUGCUGCAUGGUGGGGGUUGGAAAGUUUCGGCGGUUGGGGAUGGACUCGCGGCUUAUCAGCUUGUUGGUGGGGUAGUGGCUUACCAAGGCUUUGACGGGUAGCCGGCCUGAGAGGGUGGCCGGCCACAUUGGGACUGAGAUACGGCCCAGACUCCUACGGGAGGCAGCAGUGGGAAUAUUGCACAAUGGGCGGAAGCCUGAUGCAGCAACGCCGCGUGCGGGAUGACGGCCUUCGGGUUGUAAACCGCUUUCGCCUGUGACGAAGCGUGAGUGACGGUAAUGGGUAAAGAAGCACCGGCUAACUACGUG